UACGUAGGUGGCGAGCGUUGUCCGGAUUUACUGGGCGUAAAGGGCGUGCAGGCGGUUUGUUAAGUGCAGGGUGAAAGCUCCCGGCUCAACUGGGAGAGGUCCUUGCAUACUGGCGAACUCGAGGGAGGCAGAGGAAAGUGGAAUUCCCGGUGUAGUGGUGAUAUGCGUAGAUAUCAGGAGGAACACCGGUGGCGAAGGCGGAUCUCUGGGCCAUUACUGACGCUGAGGAGCGAAAGCGUGGGGAGCGAACAGG
rnacentral:rRNA from 1 species